ensembl:misc_RNA 7SK 7SK RNA
GGAUGUGAGGGUGAUCUGGCUGCGACAUCUGUCACCCCAUUCAUCGCCAGGGUUGAUUUGGCUGUUCUGGCUGGCUAGGCGGGUGUCCCCUUCUUUCCUCACCACUCCAUGUGCGUCCCUCUCAAAGCGUGCUCGGUCGAAGAGGAUGGCCUUCCCCAAAUAGAGAUGAACUGGUCUUUGGUCGAGGGUAUACAAGUAGCUGCACUCUUCUGCCAGAACCUCCAAACAAGCUCUCAAGGUCCUAAUAAUCCAGGUCAAAUAACAACAUUCUGAACUGUAUUUUUCUCUUCAUCUCACAAAUGA